rnacentral:sRNA from 2 species
CUGUACUUCAUUGGGGAGUAGCCGCUGUUUAUCAUCUGCGAGAUGAUAAAUGGGUGAUGAUCAACAUAAUUACUCAACAGAGUAUGGUCAUCAUAGCAAAGAACCAAUUUAGCUGAAGGUGUUUACUCAGCUAUCUUUUGUUGGCAAGACCUUUGAU